GAGGCAAUUGCGCCUGCGACUUCGACGACGCAGCUGCGCCCAGGCAGCAGGUGAAUUCGCCGAGUUUUUGCUUGCUUUCGCGCCGGCCGCCGGCGGUGCCGCUAAUAUAUAUCAAGGCGAGAGGCCGGCGGCCAGCGCUGAUCGAGCCAGCCGGCGGGUGGGGUACUGUGGUGUCUCGCCGUCACGGGGAGCUGUAGGAACAUGUUCUGCUGUAGAAUUCAUGGUGCUGCACUUCUUACAGCAAGAUGAUGAUAUUUCAGGCAAUGGUCGUAUGAUGCAAUGGUUCAAUCAUGGGUCGUACGUACACGAAUGAUGAAGAAAUCGUUAUCUCAUCUAUUGGAAAUCAUAUUUAUGUAUUUUGCUUAAUGUCACAUUGUUUGUGUGACUUUUGGAUUUGUGAACCAUUAAGUACGUUUUGCUUUAUCCUCUAUUACCUUGUCGGUUAUUUAAUCUUGCACUACUAUGUCCUUCUGUUUAGACCUGGGAGGAUAUUAUGCAUUAAUU